GGGUAUCCCUGGAAGCACGUUUCUUUGAGUAUCGUUUCAACACAAACUCGCCUGCGUGCUUUCGGGCACAAACGGCGGAGAAUGAGCGUUUGACCGCAAGGUUAAUCGUUUGAAACAUAUCAUACUCCAGUAUCAAUCGUUGAGCAAGUCUCACCUGGUUGAUGUUUGAUAAUUGACUUCGGUCAUUAUACAUCAUUACAUCGACAACAGGAGAUCGAUAUCUGUAUUAUGUAUCAAGGAACCGUAUUGAUCUGAAAUUGAUUUUUCAGUUCGAUCUGACUUUGAUCUCAGAUGGAGCAAGAAAACCCGCCGAAUUUAAGCAUAUUAUUAAGCGGAGGAAAAGAAAAUAACAAUGAUUCCCCUAGUAACGGCGAGUGAAGCGGGAAGAGCUCAAAGUUAAAAUCGGUGUACCGAGAGGUGCUCCGAAUUGUAAUCUAGAGACACUUUUUCAGUUCUGACCCAGGUAUAAAUCUUUUGAAACAAGGUGUCAUAGAGGGUGAGAAUCCCGUCUUUGACCUGGAGUUCGGGGCGUACGAA
rnacentral:rRNA from 1 species